rnacentral:rRNA from 1 species
GAAUCUUGCGCAAUGGGCGAAAGCCUGACGCAGCGAUGCCGCGUGAGCGCUGAAGGCCUUCGGGUUGUAAAGCUCUGUGGAUGGAGACGACUAAGUGUGGGCUAAUACCCUUCAUGAUGACGGUAUCCAUUUACCAAGCACCGGCUAACUCUGUGCCAGCAGCCGCGGUAAUACAGAGGGUGCAAACGUUGUUCGGAAUUAGUGGGCGUAAAGCGCGUGUAGGCGGCACUGUAGGUCGGAUGUGAAGUCCCGUGGCUCAACCAUGGAAGUGCAUUCGAAACCGCAGAGCUAGAGUAUCGGAGAGGAAGGUGGAAUGCUUGGUGUAGAGGUGAAAUUCGUAGAUAUCAAGCGGAACACCGGUGGCGAAGGCGGCCUUCUGGACGAUUACUGACGCUGAGACGCGAAAGCGUGGGUAGCAAACAGG